GAAAUGUAACAGUUUAACGUUAGGGACUUUGUUGCCUUAUCAGUUGAAUACUGGCACAGACAAAACAACCCAGAGAGAGAGAGAGAGAGCGAGCGAGAGAGAGAGAGAGAGAGAGAGAGAGAGAGAGAGAGAGAGAGAGAGAGAGGGAAAAAAAAGAAAAUCAAAAUAGGGUCCUGUCUGAGGGGUUAUUCACACUUCACUCACUGGACACAUCGUCAUGGCGGGACUUCACACACACAGCUCGCACAAGCUCUGGGCACGUUCAUUCCCAUGAGAAGGCAGGCCCGUAAACAAAGAAAUCCUAUCAGACGUCGAGUGAAGGUGACUGGAAGGUUGCCAGCUGCAACAAAUCCUCUUGAUCCGUACAAAGCUGGGGAACACAGAGAAAGAGGCCAGUCUCCAAUGUUCCCCGGGCCCACCAUGGAGCCUGCACAAUGAACCUGGCACCCCUGAUCUGAAUGAGCUCGGCUAACACCCCCCUACCAGGAGGAAAGGAGGUUUGUCAGGCCCCUCCGAGGAGUGAGGACCACCGUGGUGAACACAG